CGUUUAGAAAAUAGCAGCAAUACCAAGAACGCGCCUCACGCGCGGAGAAAAACCAGAGGGAGAUCGAGAGUGCUCUCUCCCGGCGGAACGCCGCCGGCUCACCUGCUGCUGUGUUCCGGUCCGGGAGAGGAUGACAACAUGGGCUAGCGGCGGGGUUCUAGGGCGGAGGCCUGGCUUAGGGAUGGAGGAGGGCGGCGCGAUCUCGGACAAAGAAGACCAAUCUGGACUCUUUCUUCUUGGAUAGUGGGUGACUUCCGACAUGGAGCAUCGGCGAGGUGCAAUUUGCCAGCGGGGCACGUUUUUCCGGCUACUUCUGGCGUCACGGGUGCUUAUGAGAGCUUGGAGAUGGCUGGGUUCUCGAUCUCAUGGCAGAGGCGAGCCCAGAUGGGAUCCGAUUCCUUAUGGAAUUUGAUCUAGAACGAUGGCCAUGUUCUAGUGUGGGUGACUUUGUGGUGUGACGGUGUUGCGGCGUUGGGAUGCGAUGCAGCCGAGGGGCAGUGCAAGGUGGAGAGAUGGCGGUGCGCGCGGACACGGGUUGCAGCCUUGGUGGAUUGUGGUUCGGCCUUGGUGGAUCGCAGAGCUGGUUCCGUGUGGGAAAUGUUUUUGCAGUGUUAAGUCCAUACUCUGUCGAGUUAUGGUAGUCGCCGUUGAUUCCUGCAAGCAAUUGGAGUUGAGUAGCUGGUUUGUUGCUAAAACCCUAAUUUUCUUCCCUGCCAUCCAAAAUCUAGAGUCAUAGAAUAGCUGAAGAGUGGAAUCCUUAGUCAAUCAAAGAUGAAAAUUCAGGUGCAGGGAAGAAAAAGAAGAGAGAUAUUCAUUGCCACCAAACCCUCCAUAUAGUAGAAUCCUUAGAUCUGGCUCCUUAUGACAAGCAAGCAACUCCUGAACAGAAUUCUCUCAAGGGAAUGAAAGAUCCAAAGCUUGAUUGAAAUCUAAAGACACAAAAAGAAGAUGGGCCAAGGAGAUCAGGUCUUGUCACUUGCAUGCUACUCAAAGAAGACUCGGGAAAUUUAGAUGACGCUAUGGAUCGAGACUGCAAAUAAUGUUGUUUUGUUGGAAAUAAAUGCUGGCUUAACACUUGAAGUCCUUUCUCUUUAACAGAAUACAUGAAGAUAUGCAUUGGUGCUGCACUGGCUGCAUUAGCAUUGUUGCUGGCAACUUUGAUGGUAACAUUGGCAGUAUAGAAACUUGUUAGGAACAUUGUAAUCGUAAAGAUUUAACAAUUAUCUGGUAUUGUAUAUCCAUUCCUACUGUAUUUUAGAGACAAAUAUAUGAUUUUGUUUAAUAAAAGUGAAGGUGGAUUAUAUUA